rnacentral:rRNA from 1 species
UACGUAGGGUGCAAGCGUUAAUCGGAAUUACUGGGCGUAAAGCGUGCGCAGGCGGUGAUGUAAGACAGUUGUGAAAUCCCCGGGCUCAACCUGGGAAUGGCGAUGAAGACUGCAAGGCUAGAAUCUGGCAGAGGGGGGUAGAAUUCCACGUGUAGCAGUGAAAUGCGUAGAGAUGUGGAGGAACACCGAUGGCGAAGGCAGCCCCCUGGGUCAAGAUUGACGCUCAUG